GUGUUUACUCAAAGAGUGACGACGUAAAAAAGGUGUGUACUCAAUGAACGAUGACGUAGGUGUUCACACAAAGAAUGAUGACGUAUAUAAGUUGUGUGUACUCAAUGAACCAUGACGUAGGUGUUUACUCAAAGAGUGAUGACAUAAAAAAGGUGUGUACUCAAUGAACGAUGACGUAGGUGUUUACUCAAAGAGUGAUGACGUAAAAAAGGUGUGUACUCAAUGAACGAUGACGUAGGUGUUCACACAAAGAAUGAUGACGUAGGUUAAUCGGUUAAAUUUAAGGGAAGCCACCCAUACCUUUCUUACUGUUGUAUCGUUAUUUCAUUGUUGUUUCCCUUUGACCGUUAUCGUCGCAUAUCUGCUGUGCUGAUGGACUCGUUUCGCUAGGGUUUUUUUUGGUUCAACCCAAUUUCGAAAUUCGAAUUAUUACGAUUUUCGAAUGUUAUCAUUACAUUUGAUUUUUCCUCCUGUGAACUUCGUAAACAAGUUAAAAAAAAAAAAUUUCGUUUCGAAAAUACAACGCACUUCAUUUCGAAUAAAUUCGAAGUUCAAAGACGCGUCGCCAUUUAAACUGUUUAUCACUUUCGUAGGAACUGAAAAGCCUAUUGAUUGUCAUCUAGCGAAGAGUCACAACCAGGAAAUGUGUCAUGAAUGUUCCUUGUUCAAUGAUGAUCCUGGCACUGGCCCGUGCACCCCUUCACCGGCCACCUUUCCAGUCGCUGACACAGUUGGAGCCUCGCUGUCAGAAAAUGUGAGGACCAGAGGCAGUUUCCAACAGUUCACAAGGCUUUUUGAACUUUUCAUGCUGUGUUUCUUCGUGGACCUCCUUUGACAACACUUUUGUAUUUUACGAAUGCUAAUUCUGAGCUACCUGGUCCUCAAAGACCUCAUAUAUUAUGAUGCCUGGCAAGAUGUGGGUGUCACUGAAUUUUAAUAUUUUACAGAUUCAUCAGUUUGUUCAUGGACAUGGACAUUGUCCAAAUUGUGAGUGACUUGCAUGAUCAUGGUAUCUUGAGAAUGUCUUCUCCAUUAGGCCUACAUUUGUGGUGUUAGUCAUUGUGAGUUGAUUAUGCCACUUAUAUAUAGGACAGUGGGUGAGUAGGCCUAAUACAUGUAAUAUUUUAUCACUUCUCACACUUUGAUCAUGACCAGUAUAAUAAUUUAGUGGUAGGGCCUAUGUGUGUACCCUGAGAUUGGUCUCUUUUUUUCAUGUUCAUUGUGCUGCUAUUGGGGGGAAAAACCCAGUGUACCAGUAAAUGUAAAACCCCGAAUCCCUAAUCUUUUCUCAGGACCCACUGGUGGACCUCAGUAAAGAUUAAAGUAGAGAACAGACAAGAGCUGAGCUAUUUCUUCCAGUUAUACCUUAGAAACCAUUGUAAAUGUAGGCCUACACUUAUGUUUCAGAUUACAUUCUCCUUGAAAAUGUUAUAUGACAUGCACGAUAACUCUUGUUUCAACGUACUGUAGGGGUAAACUUUUUGUUGUCUUUUCUCAUUAUUAAAAAAAACAACUUUUUUGUUUUGAGUAUGCUGACAGAUUUUCAAGAAACCAGUUACAUGGCUAGAAGAUGACACCAUAUGUUAUUAUGAAUAUUUAUACUGUCAGUGUCUGGCUCUCUACUAUAACGUAGCCGCUAAAAUAGGCCAAACACUUUUUUGAGGGAAAAGAUGCAAUUUUUUUUCUCCGUAUCUUCCCAAAUUCAAAUUGCUAAAACUUUAACGAAGAAUGUUCCUUUUACUCAUUUAUAAAUGAUAGAUCUCUAUAUCACCCAUUGUAGUUACAGUUGUGGAUGACGUAAUUCGAGACAAAAAAGUGUCUGACAGAAUUUGGCGGAGACAUGGUUAGUGGUUAGAGUCGGACACCAAAGUCAUAAAUUACUGUCAAGAACAAUUGAUUGAAUUAAUUUCAUUUUAUUGUUUCCCCAACACAUUCUGAAACCAAAAACUUGUACAUUUUCAGCCAUCUUGAAGGACAGCAUCUUAGUUAUCUUUUAACACAUUACAUAACAUUUUGUUGUUUUUUUGGAUACAUUUUCCAAAUCAUGUUUUUAUUAUAAACAUCUCAGACAAUUUUGUUCAGCCCCAUGUUAUAACGCACUUGUUACCGUGUGAACGAUUUGCUCCAUCAACAAUAAGUUCUGAUACUCUGUGUUUUUUCUGUUAUUUUUUCCAUCACACUGCAGGCACAGGUUAGUUCGUACCGAGACUAAUCAAAACUUGACCAAAAUGUGUAGAAUGGAGAACGGUAUAUCUUGCUAAAAUAAAUUGAUUUUAGUUGUGUGUUUUUUUUUCUUCUUUUAGAAAAGUGUAGGUUUUUAAAAAAAAAGUGAAACGUCUAGCUUUUUAACUCUUUACGUAGAUGCAAUAUAGAUUCUAAUAUAAUGCGAAUUAUAGCUCUCUUUCGUGAAAUAUUAAUUUAUUUUCUCACUUCUUCUACUUCCACUAAGGUACAGAUACUUUGUCAAGCCUUGAGAAAAAAGUAGAUGUUAUAUGACAUCUUAUCUGACCAAAUCAAGUAUUUCAUUAAAAUCCAUACAUCUCCUGACAUUUUACUGUAUGAUACACUCAUUCUAUGAUAUAUUAUUUGAUCUAGAUAUCCCAUCACUAAGAAUUUUUUGUGGAACACCCUGAUAUUUAGUGUACGGUAAUGCAAAUUUUUGUGAAAGAUUGUGUAAAACAUCUAUCUGAAUAAAUGUCAAGACAGGACUUAAGUUG